GACGAACGCUGGCGGCGUGCUUAACACAUGCAAGUCGAACGGAAAGGCCCUGCUUUUGUGGGGUGCUCGAGUGGCGAACGGGUGAGUAACACGUGAGUAACCUGCCCUUGACUUUGGGAUAACUUCAGGAAACUGGGGCUAAUACCGGAUAGGGGCUCCUGCUGCAUGGUGGGGGUUGGAAAGUUUCGGCGGUUGGGGAUGGACUCGCGGCUUAUCAGCUUGUUGGUGGGGUAGUGGCUUACCAAGGCUUUGACGGGUAGCCGGCCUGAGAGGGUGACCGGCCACAUUGGGACUGAGAUACGGCCCAGACUCCUACGGGAGGCAGCAGUGGGGAAUAUUGCACAAUGGGCGGAAGCCUGAUGCAGCAACGCCGCGUGCGGGAUGACGGCCUUCGGGUUGUAAACCGCUUUCGCCUGUGAUGAAGCGUGAGUGACGGUAAUGGGUAAAGAAGCACCGGCUAACUACGUG
rnacentral:rRNA from 1 species